GUCAGGCAUGGUGGUGCAUGCUUGUAGUCCCAGCUACUCAGGAGGCUGAGUUGGGAGGAUCGCUUGAGCCCAGGAGUUUGAGGCUGCAGUGAGCUGUGAUUGCACCAUUGCACCCCAGCCUGGGCAACAGAGUGAGACCCUAUCUCAA
ensembl:misc_RNA Metazoa_SRP Metazoan signal recognition particle RNA